GGGGAUGUAGUAUAGUGGUAUUAUGUUCGCUUCGCAUGUCUGUUGGUACACAUAUAGAUAAAAUAGUGUGUUUGUGAAAGGUCCCCGGUUCGAUCCCGGGCAUCUCCA